rnacentral:rRNA from 1 species
GUUGUAUGGUUAAGUGACUAAGCGUACACGGUGGAUGCCUUGGCAGUCAGAGGCGAUGAAAGACGUAGUAACUUGCGAUAAGCCCAGAUUAGGUAGUAACAACCAUUUGAGUCUGGGAUUUCUGAAUGGGGAAACCCACGUGCAUAAGCACGUAUCCUUACCUGAAUACAUAGGGUAAGGAGGCGAACCGGGGGAACUGAAACAUCUAAGUACCCCGAGGAAAAGAAAUCAACCGAGAUUCCGAAAGUAGCGGCGAGCGAAAUUGGACUAGCCCUUAAGCUUUACACGCGUUAGACGAACGGUCUGGAAAGUCCGACGAUACAGGGUGAUAGUCCCGUAGUUGACGACGUGUGUUCAGUGAAAUCGAGUAGGGCGGGACACGUGAUAUCCUGUCUGAAUAUGGGGGGACCAUCCUCCAAGGCUAAAUACUACUGACUGACCGAUAGUGAACCAGUACCGUGAGGGAAAGGCGAAAAGAACCCCUGUGAGGGGAGUGAAAUAGAACCUGAAACCGUGUACGUACAAGCAGUAGGAGCAGGCUUUGUCCUGUGACUGCGUACCUUUUGUAUAAUGGGUCAGCGACUUAUAUUCAGUGGCAAGGUUAACCAUCUAGGGGAGCCGUAGGGAAACCGAGUCUUAACUGGGCGUUCAGUCUCUGGAUAUAGACCCGAAACCAGGUGAUCUAGCCAUGGGCAGGUUGAAGGUUGAGUAACAUCAACUGGAGGACCGAACCGACUAAUGUUGAAAAAUUAGCGGAUGACUUGUGGCUAGGGGUGAAAGGCCAAUCAAACCUGGAGAUAGCUGGUUCUCCCCGAAAGCUAUUUAGGUAGCGCCUCGGACGAAUACUACUGGGGGUAGAGCACUGUUAAGGCUAGGGGGUCAUCCCGACUUACCAACCCUUUGCAAACUCCGAAUACCAGUAAGUACUAUCCGGGAGACACACGGCGGGUGCUAACGUCCAUCGUGGAGAGGGAAACAACCCAGACCGCCAGCUAAGGUCCCAAAUUACUACUAAGUGGGAAACGAUGUGGGAAGGCUCAGACAGCCAGGAUGUUGGCUUAGAAGCAGCCAUCAUUUAAAGAAAGCGUAAUAGCUCACUGGUCGAGUCGGCCUGCGCGGAAGAUGUAACGGGGCUAAGUAGUAAACCGAAGCUGCGGCAAUAUACUUUUGUAUAUUGGGUAGGGGAGCGUUCUGUAAGCGGUUGAAGGUGUGUGGUAACGCAUGCUGGACGUAUCAGAAGUGCGAAUGCUGACAUGAGUAACGAUAAAGGGGGUGAAAAACCUCCUCGCCGGAAGACCAAGGGUUCCUGUCCAACGUUAAUCGGGGCAGGGUAAGUCGACCCCUAAGGCGAGGCCGAAAGGCGUAGUCGAUGGGAAACGGGUUAAUAUUCCCGUACUUCUUACAAUUGCGAUGGGGGGACGGAGAAGGCUAGGUGGGCCUGGCGACGGUUGUCCAGGUUCAAGUGCGUAGGCUUGAGAGUUAGGUAAAUCCGGCUCUCUUUAAGGCUGAGACACGACGUCGAGCAUCUACGGAUGUGAAGUCAUUGAUGCCAUGCUUCCAGGAAAAGCCUCUAAGCUUCAGAUUGUAAGGAAUCGUACCCCAAACCGACACAGGUGGUCGGGUAGAGAAUACCAAGGCGCUUGAGAGAACUCGGGUGAAGGAACUAGGCAAAAUGGUACCGUAACUUCGGGAGAAGGUACGCUCUCGACGGUGAAGUCCCUUGCGGAUGGAGCUAUUGAGAGUCGCAGAUACCAGGUGGCUGCAACUGUUUAUUAAAAACACAGCACUGUGCAAAAUCGUAAGAUGACGUAUACGGUGUGACGCCUGCCCGGUGCCGGAAGGUUAAUUGAUGGGGUUAGACUUCGGUCGAAGCUCUUGAUCGAAGCCCCGGUAAACGGCGGCCGUAACUAUAACGGUCCUAAGGUAGCGAAAUUCCUUGUCGGGUAAGUUCCGACCUGCACGAAUGGCGUAAUGAUGGCCACGCUGUCUCCACCCGAGACUCAGUGAAAUUGAAAUCGCUGUGAAGAUGCAGUGUACCCGCGGCUAGACGGAAAGACCCCGUGAACCUUUACUACAGCUUGGCACUGAACAUUGACCCUACAUGUGUAGGAUAGGUGGGAGGCUUUGAAGCACGUACGCCAGUAUGUGUGGAGCCGUCCUUGAAAUACCACCCUUGUAGUGUUGAUGUUCUAACGUCGACCCCUAAUCGGGGUUGCGGACAGUGCCUGGUGGGUAGUUUGACUGGGGCGGUCUCCUCCCAAAGAGUAACGGAGGAGCACGAAGGUGGGCUAAUCACGGUUGGACAUCGUGAGGUUAGUGCAAUGGCAUAAGCCCGCUUGACUGCGAGAAUGACAAUUCGAGCAGGUGCGAAAGCAGGUCAUAGUGAUCCGGUGGUUCUGAAUGGAAGGGCCAUCGCUCAACGGAUAAAAGGUACUCCGGGGAUAACAGGCUGAUACCGCCUAAGAGUUCAUAUCGACGGCGGUGUUUGGCACCUCGAUGUCGGCUCAUCACAUCCUGGGGCUGAAGUCGGUCCCAAGGGUAUGGCUGUUCGCCAUUUAAAGUGGUACGCGAGCUGGGUUUAGAACGUCGUGAGACAGUUCGGUCCCUAUCUGCCGUGGGCGUUGGAAGAUUGAAGGGGGCUGCUCCUAGUACGAGAGGACCGGAGUGGACGAACCUCUGGUGUUCGGGUUGUGUCGCCAGACGCAUUGCCCGGUAGCUAAGUUCGGAAUCGAUAACCGCUGAAAGCAUCUAAGCGGGAAGCGAGCCCUGAGAUGAGUCUUCCCUGAUACUUUAAGUAUCCUAAAGGGUUGUCGGAGACUACGACGUUGAUAGGUCAGGUGUGUAAGUGCUGUGAGGCAUUGAGCUAACUGAUACUAAUUGCCCGUGAGGCUUAACCAUACAACACCCAAGGGGUUU